rnacentral:lncRNA from 1 species
GACGCGACGACGGCGACACUUUGCUACGGAGUGCAUCGGACGUCGAAGCCUAGAGUCUCUGCGUCUUUCCCUCUUCCGCUGCCUCAUUCCUUUCCUUCCUAGCCUUGGUCGUCGCCGCCACCAUGAACAAGAAGAAGAAACCGUUCCUAGGGAUGCCCGCGCCCCUCGGCUACGUGCCGGGGCUGGGCCGGGGGAAGCAACGGGCUUUGGGGUCAGGACAUACCUGUGUGUGCACCCUGCUUGCCGCCUAGAUGUGACACAUUGACUCUCAGCCCAGUGUUUUGGUCUGUAAGAUGGGUAAUGCUGUAUACGGUCUGCAGUGAGGAGUAGAG